rnacentral:rRNA from 1 species
CGACGGGAUGGUUUGGCACCUCGAUGUCGGCUCGUCGCAUCCUGGGGCUGGAGUCGGUCCCAAGGGUUGGGCUGUUCGCCCAUUAAAGCGGUACGCGAGCUGGGUUUAGAACGUCGUGAGACAGUUCGGUCCCUAUCCGCUGUGCGCGUAGGAGUCUUGAGAAGGGCUGUCCCUAGUACGAGAGGACCGGGACGGACGAACCUCUGGUGUGCCAGUUGUUCUGCCAAGGGCAUGGCUGGUUGGCUACGUUCGGGAGGGAUAACCGCUGAAAGCAUCUAAGCGGGAAGCCUGCUUCGAGAUGAGGACUCCCACCUCCUAGAGAGGGUAAGGCUCCCAGUAGACGACUGGGUUGAUAGGCCGGAUAUGGAAGCACGGUAACGUGUGGAGUUGACCGGUACUAAUAGGCCGAGGGCUUGUCCUCAGUUG